GGAGUGCUUAGAAGUGAGAAUGCCGGUAUGAGUAGCGAAAGACGGGUGAGAAUCCCGUCCACCGAAUGCCUAAGGUUUCCUGAGGAAGGCUCGUCCGCUCAGGGUUAGUCAGGACCUAAGCCGAGGCCGACAGGCGUAGGCGAUGGACAACAGGUUGAUAUUCCUGUACCACCUCUUUAUCGUUUGAGCAAUGGAGGGACGCAGAAGGAUAGAAGAAGCGUGCGAUUGGUUGUGCACGUCCAAGCAGUUAGGCUGAUAAGUAGGCAAAUCCGCUUAUCGUGAAGGCUGAGCUGUGAUGGGGAAGCUCCUUAUGGAGCGAAGUCUUUGAUUCCCCGCUGCCAAGAAAAGCUUCUAGCGAGAUAAAAGGUGCCUGUACCGCAAACCGACACAGGUAGGCGAGGAGAGAAUCCUAAGGUGUGCGAGAGAACUCUGGUUAAGGAACUCGGCAAAAUGACCCCGUAACUUCGGGAGAAGGGGUGCUUUCUUAACGGAAAGCCGCAGUGAAUAGGCCCAAGCGACUGUUUAGCAAAAACACAGCUCUCUGCGAAGCCGUAAGGCGAAGUAUAGGGGGUGACACCUGCCCGGUGCUGGAAGGUUAAGGAGAGGGGUUAGCGUAAGCGAAGCUCUGAACUGAAGCCCCAGUAAACGGCGGCCGUAACUAUAACGGUCCUAAGGUAGCGAAAUUCCUUGUCGGGUAAGUUCCGACCCGCACGAAAGGUGUAACGAUUUGGGCACUGUCUCAACCAGAGACUCGGUGAAAUUAUAGUACCUGUGAAGAUGCAGGUUACCCGCGACAGGACGGAAAGACCCCGUGGAGCUUUACUGUAGCCUGAUAUUGAAUUUUGGUACAGUUUGUACAGGAUAGGCGGGAGCCUUUGAAACCGGAGCGCUAGCUUCGGUGGAGGCGCUGGUGGGAUACCGCCCUGACUGUAUUGAAAUUCUAACCUACGGGUCUUAUCGACCCGGGAGACAGUGUCAGGUGGGCAGUUUGACUGGGGCGGUCGCCUCCUAAAGUGUAACGGAGGCGCCCAAAGGUUCCCUCAGAAUGGUUGGAAAUCAUUCGUAGAGUGCAAAGGCAUAAGGGAGCUUGACUGCGAGACCUACAAGUCGAGCAGGGACGAAAGUCGGGCUUAGUGAUCCGGUGGUUCCGCAUGGAAGGGCCAUCGCUCAACGGAUAAAAGCUACCCCGGGGAUAACAGGCUUAUCUCCCCCAAGAGUCCACAUCGACGGGGAGGUUUGGCACCUCGAUGUCGGCUCAUCGCAUCCUGGGGCUGUAGUCGGUCCCAAGGGUUGGGCUGUUCGCCCAUUAAAGCGGUACGCGAGCUGGGUUCAGAACGUCGUGAGACAGUUCGGUCCCUAUCCGUCGUGGGCGUAGGAAAUUUGAGAGGAGCUGUCCUUAGUACGAGAGGACCGGGAUGGACGCACCGCUGGUGUACCAGUUGUUCUGCCAAGGGCAUAGCUGGGUAGCUAUGUGCGGAAGGGAUAAGUGCUGAAAGCAUCUAAGCAUGAAGCCCCCCUCAAGAUGAGAUUUCCCAUAGCGUAAGCUAGUAAGAUCCCUGAAAGAUGAUCAGGUUGAUAGGUUCGAGGUGGAAGCAUGGUGACAUGUGGAGCUGACGAAUACUAAUAGAUCGAGGACUUAACCAU
rnacentral:rRNA from 1 species